GCUAAUCAAGAAUUGAAAGCUCAAGAGAUUGGCAUCUCCCGGUAGCAGUACACAGUUAUUUCAGACGCACGCGCGCUCUGAUCACUUAAUUCCGCAGCACUGGAUGAUACACAUCGUGGUUAGCAAUAGAACAAUGGAGAGGACAUACAAGGACGACAUACGAGAUCUACAAAUUAAGUAGGUGUACAGGGCAGACGUAGAUGAGUGUUACCAGAUCUGGAAGGCAAUCGCACUGACGCUCCUUUCCUCUUGUGGGCACGCAGAUCUUACCCCCCUCCAGGCACCGACACUGCCAUGGCUGUCCUGUCCCCCCAGCCACACAUGAGAUCAUAGUACGAACACGGAGAGAGGGUAAAACGAAGGGCAAAAAACUGCAGAUCCCGGGAGUACGGAGCUCGCAUACUAGAGUAGAUCGGCCGGCCGGGAGAGUACUAGCUACUGCUCCACUACUGC
rnacentral:lncRNA from 1 species